CUCAGAGCCACAGGAAGUCACAAGAGGAAGUAGGGCACCAAAGACAAUCACUGAAAGGCGCAAAAAUCAUUGGAACACGUAAUUGGCAAAGCGCUAUUCUCCGCUCCUCAACGGAACCCAAGCAAAGCCCCUGGUGAUGGUGUGCUGAGAAGCGGGGUCCAAUUCUGCCUCGUCCGAUUUAGCCCCAGCCCCACCCUGCCUGCAGAGCUCUGGGGCCGGCUGGAGAGACAACCACCUCCAUCCCCCUCUGUCCCAUUCAGAAAUGAAACUGAUGGGAAGAUUUGAACAAUCCCAGGAUCCUGAAAGAAUCCAGUAAAGGGGAUUUUAUGGCAGACUCAUCUGAAAGGUGGUAAUGCCAAUACCUGCCUCCAAGGGUUGCUGUGGAGACUGAGAUAAGACAGAUAAAGUACUUGGCACCCAAUGGAUUAAAAAGCUAUGGAAAUCAAUCCUUCCCAGAGGGACGUGAAAGAUGGCUCAAUCCGAUAGGAAAUCCAUUUGUGGCUCUAUGCACACUCCGAGAUAGGCACAGCCCAACACAGUCUUCCCUUGGAGAACAGAGGGCUUGGGUUUGGAGGGCACUUCGAUCCCACCCCCACCGCACCCCCCAUUCUGGUCCUGCUUUUGGUCAAAUGGCUCCACUUCUCUGGCCAUUCAUUUGCAUCAAGCUCCUUACGAGGUUAUGAUAAAGAUCAGAGGAGAGGCAUCAAAAAAUGUUUUAGAAACUAGAAGUUGUAUAUCAAAGUAUAUAAUUGCAAUGGUAUAAUUUCUCACUACUAAGCAAAGUCUGCAGACAGGUAGGUGGAGGUUGUGAGUGCAUUUUCUUUUUUCUUUUUCUUUUUCUUUUUUAUAUUUUUUAAAUGUUUAUCCAUUUUUGA